GUAAAUCUUAAACAAACCAUUAGAAAUAUAUUAUAAUAUAUAGUAUAUAUAAGUAUUAUAAUUUUUUUUGGAUAUUUUAUUACACAACUAUCAUUGUACUUAAAGUAUAACAAUAAUAGUAUAAUCUUUUUCCAGGACCAUCACUAACAUUUAUUUACUAUUUUUUUAUUAUAAAAAAUAUCUAAUGCUGUCAGUUAUAUAGAUAUAUCUUUAUUAUUAUUAUAGGUUAUGUUUAUGUGUUAUAAAUGACAAGAAAUACAAUAUAUAAUAGUCUUUUUCGACUAUUCAAUAAUUACACAAUGCUACGGAAUUAUUUACAUUAAUAAUAUUCAGGGAAUAUAAGAGCUGUUCGACAGAUUAUUUUGUAUAGUGCGAAAUCCUUUCAUGUGGAAAUUGGAAGAUAUUGAUAAAUAUAAUAGGAUCAAUUGGGACUUUUACAUACAUAUGAAUAUAUGUAAAAAGACACUGAACGUACAACGAGUUCGUCCGCAAUAUAAGUGAUGGUAUUAGGACGUAUUAUAGGUAUUACAGGAGCAACGGUGUAAUUAACAAGAACAUUUCCAUUAUUUUGCGAUUUGACAAUGACAAGAAAAUAUCGAUAUUUUAAUUAUAACUUAAUAAAUUUAUAAUUGGGCGAUACAAAUCAAUGAGCCAAAUGAUAGUAUCAUCGCAUUAUUUUUUGAUGUUGUUCCUAAAUAAUUGAAAAAUAAUUAUUAAAUUAACUCUUAAAUUUUUCAAUUAAAGUUUAUUCAUCUAAUUAAACGGCCAGCGUUACUAAAAAAAAAAAAAAAAUGUUUAAAUUGUAUCACUCGUAUCUUUAGAAGAAAUGUUAUAAACAAUUUGGACCCAAAUGUAUAAAUUAAUUCCGUUACUAUAAAAUAUAUCGUAAAUAUAUAAAAUUUUUGCGUAUAAUUCGAGUAAUACUUAACACGAUCUUUGUUGCAAUGCAAAUUUUCCACUUGAAAGAUAAGUAUUGUUGUAUGCAUAGAAUAUAUAAAUCCCAACGCUUUAUUAAAAGUAUUGCAUGUGUAAUUCUGUAUACUGAAAUUGCACGAAGCACAUCAGAAAUCCUGACCAACAAUCAAUAGGUAUUAAGGUGUAUAAGAAACGAUUUCUGUUUCGAUUUUAUAUUACCAUAUUCUAACGUUUGCUCAAAUCAAAUUACAUUUAUUGUAAUAUUUUCUGUUUAAAUUUAAACAAAUUUGAUUUCUUAUUGUAGAAUGGCUCUGUAUACGAGUUUACAUAUAAAGGCACAUAUAAUGUGCGAUAUUAAUUAUAAAAAUUUCGCAUGUAGACUUCCUCGUUAUACAAGUCGUGCCACAUAUGCAAGAAAAUUAAAUAUUUAUAAUAUACCAAUAAAAAUACAUUAGCACAAAAUAUUUGCAUACACUUUCUAAGAAAUUUGUUAAUUUAAUUACUUUAGAUAUUGUAGUCCAGUGCCUAGUAUGAUAAAUAAAUCUUAUUUACAAAUUGUAAUUUUCUCAUCAUACAUAAUAUGUUAUCUGUAAAGUACUGACAAACGAAGAUCUUGUUCAGGAAUGUUUACCAAAUUAAUUUAUAAGUAGUAUGUAACAAAGUAUUUGUUCGUAUUUUAAUAUGAUUUUAAUAUGUAUAUUGUGAUGUAUUCUUACGCAUCGCUAAUAUUCCAAACACUAAAUAUUUAAUUCAUUAUGUUA